GCUUCAUCAAAACAUUUCCUUUCCAGGUUGAAAAGCAUGUUACAAACAGCUACACCUUGAUUUGGGGGAAUGACUUUCAUCCUGGCCCAGUCCCUGAUUUAUUUGGGGCUGAGACAUUGGAUUUUUUUUUAUCAAUUUUGAAGUCCUGAUUCAUCUCAGCAGUGCCUCCAUCUCUAACCCUUUUUUGCACUGCUCUGGGCAACAAGCCAUAGUUAGCA